rnacentral:tRNA from 1 species
UGGGGUAUAGUUUAGUGGUAGGGCACAUGCUUAGCAUGAGAGAGACCCUGGGUCUGAUCCCCAGUACCACAC